CCAAGGGUUCCUGUCCAACGUUAAUCGGGGCAGGGUGAGUCGACCCCUAAGGCGAGGCCGAAAGGCGUAGUCGAUGGGAAACAGGUUAAUAUUCCUGUACUUGGUGUUACUGCGAAGGGGGGACGGAGAAGGCUAUGUUGGCCGGGCGACGGUUGUCCCGGUUUAAGCGUGUAGGCUGGUUUUCCAGGCAAAUCCGGAAAAUCAAGGCUGAGGCGUGAUGACGAGGCACUACGGUGCUGAAGCAACAAAUGCCCUGCUUCCAGGAAAAGCCUCUAAGCAUCAGGUAACAUCAAAUCGUACCCCAAACCGACACAGGUGGUCAGGUAGAGAAUACCAAGGCGCUUGAGAGAACUCGGGUGAAGGAACUAGGCAAAAUGGUGCCGUAACU
rnacentral:rRNA from 1 species